AUAAAUGUUAUAUGCUUAAACGAUAAGUCCAAGGAAUAUGUAAUUAGGAGAAUGUAAUUUAAACAAAUUAGAUUUAUGAGACCAUUCUCUUUCGUAUACAUAUCCUAAACAUUCCUAAUCAUAGGAUUGCCAAUUGGACAUUGACAAUCCGUUAAGAUCAGUACAUGCUAUGUCUUCUCUUAGGGAGAGUGACUAGUCUCGAGUCAUUGGUGUGAUUGACACCAAGACAAGCAUGUAGGUGCUUAAUAGCAAAUGAGUUCACUGAACACGAUCAACGAAGAGUUCUCAUACUCAUGUCAUAUGAGAACUCAUGGUUGGGAUAAUGCAAAGUAGUCAUUUGACCUGAGGCAUCAUAGUUGUCUUGUGGUUAGGUCCUUGAUCUUUGAUUAUGUCAAAGUCACUCCAUUCGCGGGUGUCCACGGCAUAGUUGGGGUUAAGCCACUUAGCCAUGAAGGCAAGUGAAUGCGCAACAAGGGAUUUCUAACCUUCAAACCGUUUGAGGGAGAAUACUCUAUGAUAUGAUUAAGAAUCUCUGGCCAGAGUAUGAAUGAGAUUUAGGAAGUCGUUCCAAAUCACAUUCAAGAUAAUCAUAUAAGUAAAUGAAUCGCAUUGGAUAGUAGACAUGAAUAAACUAUCAAACCAAACAAUGUGGUCAAGAGUAUUGUAUUAGAGAAAGACCGUAUUGCAUUGUAAUCCUAAACUGAAUAGGUUCUCCACCUUUUCUAAUGAGCUUGGGUAACCAUGAUAUGCUGCUAGGUAUCACUCAUGGUUUGUGGAAGCCCUAAACAUGUAUAAACACUAAAGGGAGAAUUGAAAGUAAGUUUCAAU
rnacentral:lncRNA from 1 species